rnacentral:rRNA from 1 species
AAAUUGAAGAGUUUGAUCAUGGCUCAGAUUGAACGCUGGCGGCAGGCCUAACACAUGCAAGUCGAACGGUAACAGGAAGCAGCUUGCUGCUUCGCUGACGAGUGGCGGACGGGUGAGUAAUGUCUGGGAAACUGCCUGAUGGAGGGGGAUAACUACUGGAAACGGUAGCUAAUACCGCAUAACGUCGCAAGACCAAAGAGGGGGACCUUCGGGCCUCUUGCCAUCGGAUGUGCCCAGAUGGGAUUAGCUAGUAGGUGGGGUAACGGCUCACCUAGGCGAC